UACGUAGGGAGCAAGCGUUGUCCGGAAUCAUUGGGCGUAAAGCGCGCGUAGGUGGCCUCGUAAGUCCGCUGUGAAAGUCAAAGGCUCAACCUUUGAAAGCCGGUGGAUACUGCGGGGCUAGAGUACGGAAGAGGCGAGUGGAAUUCCUGGUGUAGCGGUGAAAUGCGCAGAUAUCAGGAGGAACACCGGUGGCGAAGGCGGGUCUCUGGGCCGAUACUGACGCUGAGGAGCGAAAGCGUGGGGAGCGAACAGG
rnacentral:rRNA from 1 species